rnacentral:rRNA from 1 species
UACGGGGGGGGCAAGCGUUGUUCGGAAUUACUGGGCGUAAAGGGCUCGUAGGCGGCCAACUAAGUCAGACGUGAAAUCCCUCGGCUUAACCGGGGAACUGCGUCUGAUACUGGAAAGCUUGAGUGCAGGAGAGGAACGCGGAAUUCCAGGUGUAGCGGUGAAAUGCGCAGAUAUCAGGAGGAACACCGGUGGCGAAGGCGGUGGUCUGGGCCGGUACUGACGCUGAGGAGCGAAAGCGUGGGGAGCGAACAGG